CCUACGGGAGGCAGCAGUGAGGAAUAUUGGUCAAUGGACGAGAGUCUGAACCAGCCAAGUAGCGUGAAGGAUGACUGCCCUACGGGUUGUAAACUUCUUUUAUAAAGGAAUAAAGUGAGGCACGUGUGCCGUUUUGUAUGUACUUUAUGAAUAAGGAUCGGCUAACUCCGUGCCAGCAGCCGCGGUAAUACGGAGGAUCCGAGCGUUAUCCGGAUUUAUUGGGGUUAAAGGGAGCGUAGGUGGGUUGUUAAGUCAGUUGUGAAAGUUUGCGGCUCAACCGUAAAAUUGCAAUUGAUACUGGCAGCCUUGAGUACAGUUGAGGUAGGCGGAAUUCGUGGUGUAGCGGUGAAAUGCUUAGAUAUCACGAAGAACUCCGAUUGCGAAGGCAGCCUACUAACCUGCCACUGACAUUGAUGCUCGAAAGUGUGGGUAUCAAACAGGAUUAGAUACCCGUGUAGUC
rnacentral:rRNA from 1 species